rnacentral:rRNA from 1 species
UGGGGAAUAUUGGACAAUGGGCGCAAGCCUGAUCCAGCCAUGCCGCGUGAGUGAUGAAGGCCCUAGGGUUGUAAAGCUCUUUCACCGGUGAAGAUAAUGACGGUAACCGGAGAAGAAGCCCCGGCUAACUUCGUGCCAGCAGCCGCGGUAAUACGAAGGGGGCUAGCGUUGUUCGGAUUUACUGGGCGUAAAGCGCACGUAGGCGGACUAUUAAGUCAGGGGUGAAAUCCCGGGGCUCAACCCCGGAACUGCCUUUGAUACUGGUAGUCUUGAGUUCGGGGGAGGUGAGUGGAAUUCCGAGUGUAGAGGUGAAAUUCGUAGAUAUUCGGAGAAACACCAGUGGCGAAGGCGGCUCACUGGCUCGAUACUGACGCUGAGGUGCGAAAGCGUGGGGAGCAAACAGG